AUUGAACGCUGGCGGCAUGCCUUACACAUGCAAGUCGAACGGUAACGCGGGGCAACCUGGCGACAAGUGGCGAACGGGUGAGUAAUGCAUCGGAACGUGCCCAGUAGUGGGGGAUAGCCCGGCGAAAGCCGGAUUAAUACCGCAUACGACCUACGGGUGAAAGCGGGGGAUCGCAAGACCUCGCGCUAUUGGAGCGGCCGAUGUCAGAUUAGGUAGUUGGUGGGGUAAAGGCCUACCAAGCCUUCGAUCUGUAGCUGGUCUGAGAGGACGACCAGCCACACUGGGACGUAGACACGGCCCAGACUCCUACGGGAGGCAGCAGUGGGGAAUUUUGGACAAUGGGCGCAAGCCUGAUCCAGCCAUGCCGCGUGCGGGAAGAAGGCCUUCGGGUUGUAAACCGCUUUUGUCAGGGAAGAAACGCUCUGGGCUAAUACCCCGGGGUAAUGACGGUACCUGAAGAAUAAGCACCGGCUAACUACGUGCCAGCAGCCGCCGCCGUAACAC
rnacentral:rRNA from 1 species